rnacentral:rRNA from 1 species
CCCCUAGACGGUCUGGGCUGCACGCGCGCUACAAUAAUACGCACAGCGAGUAUCACCGAGCUCGAAAGGGCAAGGUAAACAAUAGAAAAGGUACUGUAAUGGUUAUAGAUCCUUGUAAUUAUUGAUCUUCAACGAGGAAUUCCUAGUAAGUAUGUGUCAUCAUCACGCACUGAUUACGUCCCUGCCCUUUGUACACACCGCCCGUCGCUCCUACCGAUUGGGUGAGCCGAUGAAACUCUCGGAUGUAGGCUAUUCAUAGCCCGCAGAAGAGAUUUGAAUCGUAGCGCUUAGAGGAAGGAGAAGUCGUAACA